rnacentral:rRNA from 1 species
UACGGAGGGGCUAGCGUUGUUCGGAAUUACUGGGCGUAAAGCGCGCGUAGGCGGAUCUGCAAGUCGGGGGUGAAAUCCCGAGGCUCAACCUCGGAACUGCCUUCGAUACUGCGGGUCUCGAGUCCGGGAGAGGUGAGUGGAAUUCCUAGUGUAGAGGUGAAAUUCGUAGAUAUUAGGAAGAACACCAGUGGCGAAAGGCGGCUCU